CCUAAGGUAGCGAAAUUCCUUGUCGGGUAAGUUCCGACCCGCACGAAAGGCGUAAUGAUUUGGGCACUGUCUCGACAAUGCACCCGGUGAAAUUGAAAUACCAGUGAAGAUGCUGGUUACCUGCGCCAGGACGGAAAGACCCCAUGGAGCUUUACUCUAGCUUGAUACUGGGGUUCGGUAUUGCAUGUACAGGAUAGGUGGGAGACGAAGAGGCAGUGACGCCAGUUGCUGCGGAGUCGAUGUUGGGAUACCACCCCUGCAGUACUGGGCUUCUAACCUGCAGCCGUGACCCGGCUGGGGGACAAUGUCUGGUGGGGAGUUUGACUGGGGCGGUCGCCUCCGAAAGAGUAUCGGAGGCGCUCAAAGGUUCCCUCAGAAUGGUUGGAAACCAUUCGAAGAGCGCAAAGGCAGAAGGGAGCUUGACUGCGACACCGACGGGUGGAGCAGGUACGAAAGUAGGACUUAGUGAUCCGGUGGUAUGAAAGUGGGAUUGCCAUCGCUCAACGGAUAAAAGCUACCCUGGGGAUAACAGGCUUAUCACUCCCAAGAGUUCACAUCGACGGAGUGGUUUGGCACCUCGAUGUCGGCUCAUCGCAUCCUGGGGCUGUAGUAGGUCCCAAGGGUUGGGCUGUUCGCCCAUUAAAGCGGUACGCGAGCUGGGUUCAGAACGUCGUGAGACAGUUCGGUCCCUAUCCGGCGUGGGCGUAGGAUAUCUGAGAGGAGCUGUCCUUAGUACGAGAGGACCGGGAUGGACUGACCUCUGGUGCACCGGUUGCAUUGCCAAAUGCAUAGCCGGGUAGCCAAGUCGGGACGGGAUAAACGCUGAAGGCAUCUAAGCGUGAAGCCCCCCUCAAGAUGAGAUAUCCCAUAACGUAAGUUAGUAAGACCCCUUGAAGACGACGAGGUAGAUAGGCAGAAGGUGGAAGUGUGGUGACAUAUGGAGCUGAUCUGUACUAAUAGGUCGAGGGCUUAACCAA
rnacentral:rRNA from 1 species